rnacentral:lncRNA from 1 species
CUUGCGCUCCCGGCGCCAGGGGCCCCGUGUACUCACGCUGUCUCCGGCGACAAGAUGAUGAGACGCGCUCGCGCCCGCACCCUGGAUGCAAAUGCUGUCUCCAACGACAAGAUGGUGAGCCGCGCUCGCGCCCCCACCCUUCAUGCAAACCCUGUCUCCGAUGACAAGAUGGUGAGCCGCACUCGCUUCCCCCUCUCCUACUAGUGAUUUGAAGUUAACCGGUGCCUAAUGAUUUGAAGUUACUGACAAUCUUUGAUCUAGUCAUGUGAAUUAGUACUAGUGCUUACUGAAUUACCUGAUGCGUAUGUGCAAGAACUACGUGGUGUGUAUAUGUCCUUGGACUUUCUAAUCGCUGGGUUCUCUUGUGGCAGAUGGACGGGAAAAAUGAGAUGGCGCCGGUCCAGGGGGUGCUGCCCAUGCGGGGAAGCAUCGCGGCUUCAAGCUCGGUUGGUAAGUACUCCAUACUGGUUUUUCUGUCAGUAUCACGGCUGUUUUUUGUCAUCAUUAGUAUAAUGAUAUUGGACUGAAGCUCGUCAACUCUUUCGAUGCUGUAUUUUUGGCAUCAUUAGUAUACUGAUAUUGGACUAAAGUUGGUUAGCUCUUUCCAUGCUGGACUUUUGGCAUCAUUAGUAUACUGAUAUUGGACUGAAGCUUGUUAGCUCUGUCCAUGCUCGGUUUUUUGUCAUCAUUAGUAUAGUGAUAUAUUGGACUGAAGCUGCACAUGUUUUGUUUCCAUUAACGUUGGUCUAGCAGUGCUACGCGUCAGUCGGCCGAUCGUAGCCGCCAUACAAGCCUUAUUUUAAUCAAGUUCCACCCGUCACUGCAUAUAUUAACGUUGGUUUUGGCACCAGCUGCGUAUACAAACGCGAGCACCGGCACUGUGUGGCAGCAUGGAAGACAUAUGAACUGUGAUAAGAAACAUAAGAAACAUGCAAUGGCUAGAAACAUCUCCGUACAAAAAAAAUUGGCAUGUUAUAGGUGUCAACAAAAUUAGUCGGCUUGCCAGCCGUCGGAUCUGACACGUGAAGCAUUGGAUCACACCACGCGGCAGCUGAGAGAGUGGAACCCGUCUUCCUCCAUAGCCUCCACAAAACUUGUUUAUCCCCCACCCCUCCCCCAUCGUUGCAAUAGACUAUUAUGUUGUUGCCGCGGCCUUCCUCUUCUCUCGCUCAGCAGCACCUCCCUCUCGUCCUUUCUAACACAGCAAAGAAGAAGGAGGAAGAAGAAGGAUGCAAGGACACAAGUGGUUUUGCCGGAGCACGAACUCCGCCCGCCGCACGAACGGCGUCCUUUUCUUUCCCUGAGCCCGAACUCAGUACAAUCCGCAAGCUACAACAGAGGAGAGAGCUGGCCUUAUACCCGCGCGACGCACGCGCUACGCCACGCUCUGCACGCAUGCACACCCCACGUCCCGCGCUUCCAGACCCACUCACCCGACGCGCACGUAUGCAGUCGCCGUAGGCCGAUUCCAGCGCCCCGACGUGGUCGCCACUCCGUUUCUGUCGCCUACACACAACGGCCCACGCGCUCGAACGCGAGGACACACACACACACGCACAGAAACACACACACAUGCACGGCCAGGGACCCGGCGCGUCCUAGCUCACACCCGACGCGUCCUGUGGUGGCUUAUGCCCAACACUCACUCCCCUAAGCCACGAACUACAGCAGGUGAGUCCAUCGUCGUCGAUGUCGCCAUGGCCGUCGCACCGCACCGCUGCGGCCUCCGCCGUGCCGUCGACGUCGUUGUAGCCGCCGCCGCCCUAACGUCGCUGCCACGCCUGCCACCGUGCCGCUGUGCCCUUCGCGUGCACUCCCCACGUCCCCGCGCUCCCGGCCCGCGCUCCCGCCGCGCACGUACGCGGUCUGCGCAACCAGGUCCAGUGCCUCGACGCGGUUCACUCCCGCGGUCCCGACGCGCCCAACACGUCCGGUGCGCACCCAUAACACGCACCGGUCACGCCCGGCUCGCCACCGCGCUUAUUGCCCUGCACCGCUGCGCCGUCAAACGCAGCGCAGCGCCUCCACGGUCGUCGCGCCGAGCCGCCGCGGCCUCUGCGACACCACGCAGGUCCUCCGCGACCUCCUCGUCUCCGCGACCGCCGCUGCUCGCCGCGCGCACGGCAUCACGCCACCCCGCCGUGGACUCGCCGCGCGUUGCCGACGCGCCCCGGCAUCGCGCCACACCGCCGUGGACUCGCCGCGCGUUUCCGAGACCUUCAUGUCUGCCACGCGCCACGCGCGUCGCGAACGCCGCCGCGCGCCAUGGCCGCCCCCCGAACCUGUGGCUCUGAAUACCAAUUUUUGUUGCCGCGGCCUUCCUCUUCCUCUCGCUCAGCAGCACCUCCCUCUCGUCCUUUCUAACACAGCAAAGAAGAAGAAGGAGGAAGAAGAAGGACGCAAGGACACAAGUGAUUUUGCCGGAGCAUGAACUCCGCCCGCCGCACGAAUGGCGUCCUUUUCUUUCCCUGAGUCCGAACUCAGUACAAUCCGCAAGCUACAACAGAGGAGAGAGCUGGCCUUAUACCCGCGUGCACGCACGCGCUACGCCACGCUCUGCACGCAUGCACACCCCACGUCCCGCGCUUCCAGACCCACUCACCCGACGUGCAUGUACGCAGUCGCCGUAGGCCGAUUCCAGCGCCCCGACGUGGUCGCCACUCCGUUUAUGUCGCCUACAGACAACGGCCCACGCCCUCGAACGCGAGGACACACACGCACGCACAGACACACACACACGCACGGCCAUGGACCCGGCGCGUCCUGGCUCGCACCCGACGCGUCCUGCGGUGGCUUAUGCCCAACAAUUACGUCAGCCCCUCGCAGCACCUCACGUCCAUGCUCUGGCGCAUCCCUGAUGUCGCCUGGUAUCAUGCAAGCACUAUUACAGACGGCGCGCCGGCGAGGAACAUUGUCUUACAACCAAGGUAGUUGCAUUGAUGCGACCACAAGCCUCACCCCCUUGUUGCAUGGGUCGUGGCUUGUGGCACUGGUCGUCGGCUAUAACACCCCCCGUGAGAACCUGCAGUUGCACCACUGCGACAACCCCGUGGGUCUAUGCAUGGUGGAAAUAGAGCGAAUGGAUAUGGUGAAGAGAGAGGAAUACAAGUGAGGGGCAUCUGGCGCUAGAGCGAGCUGACUCAUUUCCUCCUAAACCAGUCUGUUGAAUAUUUCCAUUUUCUUUUGAGAAACCUCGUAAAAACGUUGCAACAUGCGAGCAUGUCUAUACAAAAAAAAGUAGAUAUAGAACACAUACUCAUUAACUGCAAGAAAUCAGUGAAAAAACACAAUGUAUACACGCCUGAACCAAUGGACCAUUGGCAUGCAUCUUCCAACUCUUCCUAGGUUACGCCCACCCGCGAACCGUUCAAUUCUGUCACAGAUCAUUGCCAAAUCAACCACCAACUUGGUUCCUGCUCUCGUCUCCUCUCCCCAUCCUUUGCAACAUACACCCAUGUUUCUCAGCAAUAGACUCACUUGGAGGCCACAAUGGUGGCCAUGGUAGGCUAGUGAAAAGCACAAUGGUGGUCAGCCUUACAACACUAAACACGACACUAAUUGCAACACGUGAUAACCCCAAAUUUGUAGCACCGGUGCACCGUUUUGCGGCAAAGUAAAAAAUGCCAACGACCUGCCAUGCUGCAUCGAUGCCUUGGUCUUGCAGCAUUGUCAACCACCUUGUAGCAAUGAAAAGUUCACUGACCAUUAGCUUUGCAGCAUCACGUGACCGGCUUAUAGCACUGAACGCCCGGGCUAGCAGCACUGCGAUGAGGGAUGGUCGGCCUUGCAACAGUAUUGGUUGACAUUGCACACCUCAUCUCCAUUUUUAUGUACAUACACAUGAGUGAACUUGGAACAUCAGUAACGUAUCAACAUUAGCAAUAUUGAUGAUGAUGAAAUUUGUUUCCCCAAGUAUCAACAUUACUGAAUAAGCGAGCAACUGCACAUCCACCCCAUGAGCCAUAAUUUUUGAGCCCUACCACAACCGAUUAUAGUUGGAAAAGAGCUGACAACGAUAGUUAAAAAUGUACAUGAUCACAAUAGCUUAAAUGGUAGGGAGGGUGGACUGCAUGUGUGGAAUCAGGCUUGUCGCGUGGUCACAAGUGCCUUAUCUGACUAGCCAACAAGACAGAAGGAGGCCGCCUGGGCUCUCACUCCUGAAGCUAAGCAUAACUCCAACUCCAGACACACUCGGGGGCUACUGAAGGUGCAAUACACUAGGGGUGUCCUCUAAGUGGGAAGCCCGGUAGCAGGCCUAUCUCAAGGCCCAAGAGGCCAAGUGGAGGAUCAGCGCACGAGGGCAGCUCAUGAGCCCGGAUAAGGACCGGGAGAGCAUCUAGGCGUGCAAGCUAACAUGGCGACGGUAUGAGAUCUAGUGGAUUCCUUGUAAUCCCUAGCCCUCGUCACCUAUAUAAGGCAGGGCAAGGGGUUAUCAUUCACAUAUACUCUCAUAGACUAUACUCUCGGUGGCCUUAUACUACAUCUCCGUUGUAAAUCCUAUUAUGGGUACUAACAGUUUUACAUACUGUCGCAUAGUUUUGUUUCGACACAUUUUCUCUAGGAGUUGAAAGCAACUCAUGGUGUAAGUAUGUGUUGCUGGAAGCACUGAUUUUACUAGCACCGCCUUUCCCGCCUUGGAGAUACCUUGUCCUUCCUAUCCAAUCACUUUGCCAUUUGAGUUUUCUCUAACGUAUUUAAAAUUUGCUUCCGUUGACCUACCCACCACGGCUGCGAGCCCCAAAUAAUGCUCGCUCAAUGCCUUGGGAUCAAUACAAAAAUAUUUAAAAAAAACUUUGUCCUCCUAUUUGCUUCCCUUUCCACAGAAAGUUGAGGCUUUUUGAAGAUUUACCAUUUGUCGUGUGGCCAACUCGUAGUCAAACAGGGUCUAUUUUAAGGUCACAACGUUGAUAUUUGAUGCUUGAAGAAAUACUACACUAUCAUCUACAAACAUAAAAUGGGCUACAUGGGGGCCAGUGCUCCCAAAAUGUACACCAUUGAUCUCCUUAUCUUUGAGAAUUCAUGAGCAAUGCCAAAAAAUAAACAAAUGGGGGGAUUGUGGGUCUCCUUGUCAGAUCCCUCUUGAUAGUGUAAAAAUGACAGAGCAACCUCCAUUCAAUUUGACAGGAAUCCUGGUCGAGGUAACAGAUGUCAUAGUCAUCAAGAUCCACCUAUUUGAGAAACCAAGUGCCCUCAUCAUGAGAUUGUGGAAAAUCCAAACCACCCUCUUGUAGGCCUGCAUCAUGUCUAGUUUAAUAGCUAACAUUGGAUUUUUCUAUUUGUUGACCUGAUUGCAUGCACACACUCAUACGUGACCAACACAUUGUCUGUGAUAAGCCUACCCGAAAUAAAUAUACUUUGCUCCUCCCAGAUCAUUAUGGACAGGAGAACAUUCAAACCAUUCACUAGGCCUUUGAAGCAAUAUGACUGAGUGUGUUCUAUAAGCUGAUUGAUCCAAUUUGAGGAAGUAUAUCCAGUGAGUUAAUUUUUAGGAUCAGGACUAGAACCAUAUCACUGAAGUUUGCCGAUACAUCAUUUUUUAGCAACGACUAGUGAAAUUGGUAAACAUAGUCGAGAGGUUGUGUGGCACAACGCUUUUGUCAGUCUAAUUUAGAAUGGUGCAUUCUCAAUUUCUUCAUCCAUCACAUCCGCGUCCACCCUCAAGAAAACAACCAAGCAUAGAAAUCGGCCGACAUCUUCCCCAUCUCAUUGUCAGUAGUACAUCUCAUGCCAUCCGCGCUCAUGUUUUGUUCGUCUUCCUCGAGCAAUUCCAAUCGAGCAUGUUGCAUAUACAUUAUUUCUUCCCAUGCAUGAGCCAGAUGAAGCUACGCUUCAAUCUCGUGGAUCUCCACCAAGGAUCUGGAUCCCAAUGCUCUCUCCUUUCCAUCGAAGCUGACCUUGUGCCUAGUGAUGUCUAAACAUACGAACCAAAACACUGAGCCACUCCAAUGUUGCAUAUCAUUGGUGAUAUUGUUAAGCUUCCUGUAUAACGUACUCUGGCCGAAAUUGUUGUCACAUGCACACUCCCACGCAUCCAUGGGGCAUCCGCCUCUCCUCAAAUGUUAACGCCCUCUUCUUCCUUGUGGUAAUGAACAAUUGGUCUAGCGCUCUAAUAAUGAGUGAAUCAUGGCCUGGUUCUCCGUGAGAACAUGUUCAAUGGAUGUAUCCUAGAAUGAGUGUAUGAAAUCAUCAUUGCAUGGACCCCUUCCCAGAUGUACCUAAAUGUUCUCAUCAUCAUCCCUUUUGUUGUCCCGUGUGUACUAGUAGCUACUAAAACAGAGGUUUGAAAAGUUGUUAUUGGCUACGCUUCCAUUUGUGUGAAACUCCUCAAGUAAUCUCCUGGUUGUUGUGAUUGAAAGAAUACUUUGUUGAGGUAUCACUGUCACAGAGAAAUUUAUUAUCAGGAUCUAGUCUCUCGAAACCUCCGUUAGCUACACAAAUUUGCUUCAAUCUCUCUUCCUAUCCAGUAGCUUUAGCUGAUAAUCCUUGUGAUGCCUUUGGUGAUCACCACCACCCUUCCUCGUCUUGUGAACAAAAGUGCCUCGUGUGUGCUGCCUGGAGGUAGAUGGGUCUUCUUUGCCCAGUCGCCUUGCACCCUUUCUUCCCAUAUAGAAUUUUUUAUGUCCUCCUUCCUUUCAUGCUCCUUCCUCAGCUUCCACAUCCUUUUCAGUUGCAAAUCAUCCCUUAGUUCAUGUCACCGAUCUUGCUUGCAUUGGUCCUUCCUGGGUGUAUAAGCAUUGUAGCACUUGUGCCUAAAUGGGAGGUGGCGCAACGCUGCUUACCCCUUGUGAACAAAGAUGCACCUUCUUGACCUAGUGCUCCCAAAACUAAAAUUCCCACUUUCUAUCACCGACUUCUACUAUGUUUCUGUGUGUGAGGAGCUAUGUUCGAGUGGUGCCCUCAACCAUUCACCCAACUAGGGUGAGGAAUCAACAUGUGGUUCAAAUCUUUCAUCAACAUGUGCUGGUCUAACGCAGUCAAUCCAGAAGUGAUGUAUCUUCUCAAAUUGAAAAUCAAGACAGUCCCCUCAUCUUUCGCUGAAGAGUGGAGGAAGAAGCCUCGAACCAAUGAAACGAAUAUGAAAAUUCUAGCUCUAACUAUGAGAUGGUUCCCCCCAUAAAUCCAUCCUUCUCGAUAUCAAAUUUUACCACGUCACCAAGCCAAUUCCCGAGAGCAUUCCCAAAAGUAGACAAUGGUUUAUAUAGGGGAAGAUCCUUAAUUAUCACCCAUGGCUCCGUCAUCCAAAACAUUAUCUUCGACGGCCUAGUUUUACCAUCACAAUUCUUCAAAACCAUCACACUAAAACCAAAUUUCCACGGUCCAUUAUAUAGAGCGUGAUUCUAAACUCCGUUUUGUCGAAUCUCAAGAUGAAGAUAUUAUUGCCAAUGGCUUCCUAGUAGAGUCCCCAUGCCUGUUGCAUAGCCUUAGCAAACACGUUGAUGUUGAUUUGCGGAAGUGAGCACGCCUUUCCAACAGCUGACAACUUAGUAGGCCUCGGUCGGUCUAGAAUCCACCUCAAACAUGAGAUCUAUUAGUUCCUUUUGUGUCAAGUUCAAGGCUCCUUGUUUUUUUGAGAGAUUCGCUACCUCCUGGAAGCAUUUUCGUCUGUCAGGGACUUUGAAGAUUCUCGGCUUAUCGAUCGUUGGUCACCCGCUUCACUGGAGUUGCCUGUCCAUGCCAUGCCUGCUCUUCCGGCAUCGACCAAUAGAUGAAUAAAACCCUAACCCUAGCACUACCUGUCGGUCCCCUAUAGUCUCCCUUAGCAUUUCCUUUCAUGGUGGGCCCGCCACCAAUUAUUCCUCUCCGUCCUUCCAUUGGUACUUUUUCUGCGGUGGAGCCUUUAUGCUUCAUUUGGCUUUCUACAAUGGUGGUUGUAUCCAGCUCAUAAGUCUCCUCUAUAUGUAGGAAGCCAAGAUGUUAGCUCUUCUUUUUUUUAAGGAAAAUACGUUAGCUAAUGUACAAGUUUCGUUUGAAAGAAGUCUUGUCGCAUGUAAAGACGUCACUGUCGGUUCAAUAUCCGGCGUAUCUCGUAGUAGGGGUCCUAAGCUAGGUGUCUUGGAGCGAUGGUAACAUGGACACGGGGUUUUACCCAGCUUCUGGCUCUCUUGAUGAGAUAAUACCCUAGAUGCUGCUUUUGAUUGUAUUCAUAUGGGGUGUAGUACAGAGUACAUGUGUCUACCACGAGACUGUGGUAAUGAAUAUGAGAUUGUCUAUUGACUAGCCUGGCCUCGGUUUAUAUAACACACCGGAGGCCUAGGGUUUUAGGAGAGUCCUCGCCUUGGGCGCCAAGUCUUGUGGAGUCUUCCUUAUAUGCGACAGGGGUUGUCCGAACUGGCCCAUGAGUAUACGGUCGGCCCAAUCCAACUGAUCGGGAGACGACGUGGUGAGUACCCCCUAGUCCAGGACACCGCCAGUCACUAAGAGUGCGAUACAUAUAGGUGCAUACUUUGCGGAUGAUGCAAAUUUUAGCAGAUAUGAACAGCUCCAGGUGGACCGAGCACACAAAGAAAUCAUGGACCAUAAACGAAUAAUUUCCAAAGAAACAAAGUCGCAAAAAGAGAGACGACAUUAUCUUCAUUAUGGAAAACCCUUAUAUUUUUAAACAUUGCUUUGCUCUUUGAUUAUUAACAGGAAUCUUUUUACUAAUAUAAUAAGUGUUAAUCUUUAUAGAUAUGGAAUGUAUUUUGUUCAGUAGGUUUUAAUGAAUCAUAUCAGUUUUUGGUAUGUUAAAAUUAGAAGAAGUUCAUGCGCCUUCAAGGCAUGUCACGGUGUGUUGUUCCACCUCAAACAGGGACAUACUACAUGGUUAUUCUCCCUGCAUAUAGCCCUCUUCGCAUGCUCUUCCUCUCUCUCUCUCCAUUGUAUAUUCCAGAACUGCUGACACUACUCCAUAAUGCCUAACUGGUGAAGGUCCAGAAACACCUAGCAGUGAUGGGUUCAACAUGCUCAGUAGUCUGUACUUAGUGGAGAAGUAACAAACCACUUAGAUGAACGUGUCCGCCAGUGAUGGUCAAAUCGAAAAAGAAAAUCGGGCCAUGGCCAGUCCAAAGCUAACACCUGCCAAUAAUGUGUAGUCUCCACUACUCGAACCUUCUUCUCAUCAAUAUAUUGCACCGUCUGAUGUUUGGAGAAGCCAUAGAGUUGGGGAUCCGAAUAGAGGAAACAAUGGUGGGGAGUGUCUUGAAGAAUAGGUAACGAGAAGCCGGACGGAGAAGGCCUCGACCAUGCUGCACCAUCAGCCCAUGAGCACUGACCUGUAUAUAUGGUGCAAGGACCGAGGCAGAAAUGAACACCAUCAUCGCCUGGGUGGCAGAGGGAGUUGGACCUGGGUGUUCCUCCUCUCGGACAAACUCAAUGAAUUCUUGGAGGCAGCACCCAUGCUAGAUUCUGCAGAGAUGACAACAUUUAGAGGAGGUGGAGGGCCAGCGCUAGGUUUGUUCCUCAUAGGGUUUAUUUUCGGGGAAGAAGGGGAAGGGUAUGACAUGAUGAGUGAUUAACAAGGGAAGUGUGUGUUUCUGUGGAGGACAAAUCAUGAAGACAAGUGUGCUAGUAGCUAGAGAAGGGACUAAUGAUAGCAGGAACGAAUAAUGAGCUUAAUGUGUGGGGCUACUAGUUUUAAGUUGUGAUCUAAAUGACAGGGUAAGUAUUUAGUCACUAUCGUGUUGUGACUUGGGCUUGUAAGUGGUGGGUUGUAUAUGAGUAACAAGUAGCAUGUUUAGCCUCAAUAUUGUUCUCUGUCACUGGUAACAAUGUAUCAUUGAUGGACCACAUAUUGGGCCCGUCACUACUAACUUUUUUCGACAAAAAUAGAUUUUUAGUUAUCGUCAGAUUCAUGGCAAACCCGCCGUCCAUUACUUCUAAGUAGCACUACUGAUGGGUUGUGUGACCCACCACUAUUGAUCAAUAACUAGAGGAUAACUCAAGCAUAGUGCACAUCCGUUUCUUUGAGAUUUUGUUAGUGUUUUCUUGUUCAUGGAGACAUAUCAAUUGACCCUAACAAGUGUUCUAUUUAGGUGGGGUUGUGAGUGAAAAUGCGGGGAGCUUGGCAGCAGGGAAAAUGGCACCUAGAGGGGCUCAUGUCUCCAUGAUGAACAACCACAACUUUGAUUUGAAUGAGCUACCGACUGAACAUGAGCAGCUCCAGCAGGAGUAGCCGCCCAAAGAGCAGGAUUAGCCGCCUGUGGCACAACAUGAGCUUUAAUAUUCACAAUGGCUGGAGCCUUCUCAAAUCCGCAUCUAUGAGCAAAAUAACUCUUCGCCAGAAGCAUAGCCCUGUUGGAAAUUAUCAAAAAUAUCUCUAUCCCGAGGAUAAUGGGAAGGCUUGUAUGGAACUUUUGAAUUUCUCUCUUCCUACUUUUUGCGAGUGACUAUCAUUAUUGCUAAACAUGAGGGGGGGGGAUUUGGUAUACUGCCUCAUGAUCACCCUAUCCACUUGAAAUGGAUUUUCUAUUCAUUUCCCAUGAUGGUUUUGAUAUCUCGAUUGUUUCAACAAGAAUAUAUUCAUUCGGUAAAGCUUUGUGAAACAUUAGCGAUGGAGCUAGGUCUCGGGUCAUGUGAAAAGACAGUAGGUCAAGAAGUGUGUUAGCUCAUGAGAUAAUAUAUUUUUGAAGUUGUUCAUCAUGUGUGUUGACACAAUGGGUCGUACGAGAGAAGGUUGGCACGAAUCUUUGGGUUUGAAAUGAGCUGUCUAAUUGGACCUUCAUGACUGAAAAAAGGGAGAAAACAUGGCUAAUAGGAGGCGCAAAUGAUAUGGAAGCUACUUUUUGGAUGGAAGUUAACUAUGGCUAUGCGACCACACAAGAUGUCAGUGGAACCG